AGUUUGAUUAUGGCUCAGGAUGAACGCUAGCUACAGGCUUAACACAUGCAAGUCGAGGGGCAGCAUGUGGUGCUGCAACCAAUGAUGGCGACCGGCGCACGGGUGAGUAACGCGUAUCCAACCUUCCCUAUAGUAGAGGAUAGCCCGGCGAAAGUCGGAUUAAUACUCUAUGUUUUCCAAUGCAGACAUCUAAAAUGGAACAAAGGUUCACCGCUAUAGGAUGGGGAUGCGUCUGAUUAGAUAGUCGGCGGGGUAACGGCCCACCGAGUCGACGAUCAGUAGGGGUUCUGAGAGGAAGGUCCCCCACAUUGGAACUGAGACACGGUCCAAACUCCUACGGGAGGCAGCAGUGAGGAAUAUUGGUCAAUGGGCGAGAGCCUGAACCAGCCAAGUAGCGUGCAGGAUGACGGCCCUAUGGGUUGUAAACUGCUUUUAUACAGGGAUAAAGUGCACUACGUGUAGUGUUUUGUAGGUACUGUAUGAAUAAGGACCGGCUAAUUCCGUGCCAGCCGCCGC
rnacentral:rRNA from 1 species